GACGAACGCUGGCGGCGUGCUUAACACAUGCAAGUCGAACGGAAAGGCCCUGCUUUUGUGGGGUGCUCGAGUGGCGAACGGGUGAGUAACACGUGAGUAACCUGCCCUUGACUUUGGGAUAACUCCAGGAAACUGGGGCUAAUACCGGAUAGGAGCUCCUGCUGCAUGGUGGGGGUUGGAAAGUUUCGGCGGUUGGGGAUGGACUCGCGGCUUAUCAGCUUGUUGGUGGGGUAGUGGCUUACCAAGGCUUUGACGGGUAGCCGGCCUGAGAGGGUGACCGGCCACAUGGGGACUGCGAUACGGCGCAGACUACUACGGGAGGCAGCAGUGGGGAAUAUUGCACAAUGAGCGGAAGCCUGAUGCAGCAACGCCGCGUGCGGGAUGACGGCCUUCGGGGUGUAAACCGCUUUCGCCUGUGACGAAGAGUGAGUGACGGUAAUGGGUAAAGAAGCACCGGCUAACUACGUG
rnacentral:rRNA from 1 species